rnacentral:rRNA from 1 species
UACGGAGGGAGCUAGCGUUGUUCGGAAAUACUGGGCGUAAAGCGCACGUAGGCGGCGCAGCAAGUCAGGGGUGAAAUCCCGGGGCUCAACCCCGGAACUGCCCUUGAAACUGCAGUGCUAGAAUUCUGGAGAGGCGAGUGGAAUUCCGAGUGUAGAGGUGAAAUUCGUAGAUAUUCGGAAGAACACCAGUGGCGAAGGCGACACGCUGGACAGACAUUGACGCUGAGGUGCGAAAGCGUGGGGAGCAAACAGG